rnacentral:rRNA from 1 species
AAUUUUGGACAAUGGGGGAAACCCUGAUCCAGCCAUCCCGCGUGUAUGAUGACGGCCUUAGGGUUUUACAGUAUUUUUGUCAGAGAAGAAAAGUUAUCUACUAAUACGAGAUAAUGCUGACGGUAUCUGCAGGAAAAGCACCGGUGAACUACGUGCCAGCAGCCGCGGUAAUACGUAGGGUGCAAGCGUUAAUCGGAAUUACUGGGCGUAAAGCGUGUGUAGGCGGUUCGGAAAGAAAGAUGUGAAAUCCCAGGGCUCAACCUUGGAACUGCAUUUUUAACUGCCGGGCUAGAGUAUGUCAGAGGGGGGUAGAAUUCCACGUGUAGCAGUGAAAUGCGUAGAUAUGUGAAGGAAUACCGAUGGCGAAGGCAGCCCCCUGGGAUAAUACUGACGCUCAGACACGAGAGCGUGGGGAGCAAACAG